GGACUUCGUUCGUGGCGAUGCUUUUUGUCUUGCCAUGAAUCGCAUCAAUUGCUUGAGUUGGUUUUUUGAUGGUGCCCUUUUGGGUUUUGGCUUUGUUUUUUAGAUCUAGUUUUGCUGUUUCUUUUGUUGCUUGUGUUUCUUCUCUAUCUUGUGAUUCCUUAUUGGAGGAGAUUUUGUCAAUUUUUGGGAUUAUUGAAUCCUAUUGUGGAUCUCUUUCUAGUGCUCUCCCUUUAGUGUUGGAGGCUUUUGGUUUUGGUUUCUUUUGCUGAGGAGUUGUCUUGUUCGAAGUUUCCUUCUUGUUUUUAGCCUUCGGUCUGCUUGGUUUUCCUCCUCAUAGUCUCGCCUUCAAUUGUUGCUCGCCCUGUUCUAGCCUCUUUGUUUUUUGUCUGAUACUGGACCUGAUUAGUUCUGUUUGCUAGCGUUUUAGGUCCCUAUUUGUCUCUUUUUUGUUUUGGAGCAAGUUGUAUGGCUUGGUUUGUUGCUUUAUCUUAGUUCUGUAUCAGUUUUCUUUGUCAGGCUUUUAACCUUGUUCUUUUAAUAAAAUUCUGGCUCAUAACAAAAAAA
rnacentral:misc_RNA from 1 species